rnacentral:rRNA from 1 species
UACGUAGGGUGCGAGCGUUAAUCGGAAUUACUGGGCGUAAAGCGUGCGCAGGCGGUUUUGUAAGCCAGAUGUGAAAUCCCCGGGCUUAACCUGGGAAUGGCAUUUGGGACUGCAAGGCUGGAGUGCGGCAGAGGAGACGUGGAAUUCCUGGUGUAGCAGUGAAAUGCGUAGAUAUCAGGAGGAAUACCGAUGGCGAAGGCAGGUCUCUGG